UGGGAACUUCCAUAUGCCAUGGUGCAGCCUGGAAAAAAACAAUAACAACAACAAAAAACAAAUACUUUUCUAAUUAACACUGAGGGACAAAUGAGACUUUAGCUGGAAAGGACAUGAGGUUCUUUAGCCGCAAGUCUAAUUGUCUCUGCUUUGUUCUGAAGCCCUUCUUACCCUGUCUGUGUUCAGUUUCAGCCCUCCUUCCCUAUUCUUUCUGAGUUCUGGCUAAACUUAGGCCACAUGGCAAAGACAUAUUAAGGAAAAAAUCAAACAAGGGAAGGUAUUCUUCUCUACUUGAUUUUAUAAAUACAUUUUGAAAAUGAUUCCCUCACCCCCCUUUUAUCUCAAAAUAUGAGUGUUAUUAUGUGCCAAGGGAGAUCUACAUCAGUUUAAUUUUCAGCCAGAUGAGAAAGGACAUUGUGAACUAGUUAUUUAAUCAGCUCUCUUCAGCUUGUGGAAGGGCAGUCAGAGCUCCUUUUCCUUCUGGUAAUUUCUUCUGUGUAAACAUAUCAUCACCAGUGGUGACUUGACAUUACAAUUGAAAGGCAAUUUUGUGCUCUCCAGUCUAGACGCCCAGCAAGAAGCGGAGGCAGAGAGCAGUUAAGUGACUUACCACUUUUCAUAACAUCAGGCAGCGAGAGAAGAAGGAAGAGAGCUCAGACGUAUAUUGUCGAGGCUGGCUUCACGUUUCCUAGGCUACACCAUCUACGUGACAGCAGAGAACAGCAUCAGUCAGAAGAGGAAGAUGAAAUACCUUUUAAAUGUAAAAGGGAAUGAUCGCAAAUGGGUCUUGGUGGCAGAAGCAAAUUAAAUUUAUUAAAAUAGAGUAGCUUUUAGCCUGCCACAGGAUAAAACUGCAGCUGACAGCUAUGUUUUGAUAGACUUUUCUAUUGGAUUUUUGGUGACUUAAUGGAAUCAAGGCAUGAUUUCAGUCACAACAGUACAUAGAAAAGAUAAUUAGAGAAGAUAAACACACAGACAAUCACAAGGCUGGAGGAGUGUGGCCUGGGAAAAAAAUCCCCAUAAGACAAAACAAAGAAUUAUAAUACAGGGAAGCUACUUUUUGGUACUACCAACUGAAUGUACACAUCAGAGCCCUCACUGGAGUAAGAAACAGCAUACAAGGUCCGGGUUCCAAACUCAGAGAAUGUCCACAAGGAAGUCCUGCUAGCCCAUGCCUGGAUCAGGUGCAUGUCCACUCAGCUCUUCAGGUACCAAGUAAUUUACAGAUAUACGUCAGUGCAGCCUUGACCACAAGGUAACAAAAAUUCCAUGGGAAGCCCCAAGAACCUGGGAAUUUGAUUGCCCUUUGACCUUUAAACUGUAACUCUUCACAUAACACAGAUGUCACGAAUGACUUGUGUUUGUAAGCACGUCUCCAACAGGGUAGGAACAUCCUGGGUAGGAACUGAGAUGUGCUGAUCUAAAAGGAAUUUAAUUCAUUAUAUCCCACCCUUU
rnacentral:lncRNA from 1 species